rnacentral:rRNA from 1 species
AUUGAACGCUGGCGGAAUGCUUUACACAUGCAAGUCGAGCGGCAGCGCGGGGCAACCUGGCGGCGAGCGGCGAACGGGUGAGUAAUGCAUCGGAACAUGUCCAUGGAUGGGGGAUAGCCCGGCGAAAGCCGGAUUAAUACCGCAUGAGCCCGAGAGGAGAAAGUGGGGGACCGCAAGGCCUCACGUCGUUGGGUUGGCCGAUGUCCGAUUAGCUAGUUGGUGGGGUAAAGGCCCACCAAGGCGAUGAUCGGUAGCUGGUCUGAGAGGAUGAUCAGCCACACUGGGACUGAGACACGGCCCAGACUCCUACGGGAGGCAGCAGUGGGGAAUUUUGGACAAUGGGGGCAACCCUGAUCCAGCCAUUCCGCGUGAGUGAAGAAGGCCUUCGGGUUGUAAAGCUCUUUUGUCCGGAACGAAACGGGUAAGGCUAAUACUCUUGCCUACUGACGGUACCGGAAGAAUAAGCACCGGCUAACUACGUGCCAGCAGCCGCCGUAAUAC